rnacentral:lncRNA from 1 species
UGAUAUCCAGUUUUAUUUUAGGAGAUUGGUAUAAGCCCAGUGAUUGGCAUCCGAUAUCCGCUUUUGCUUUCUUGACUUUCUUUGUUUGUUAUUAUCCAUUGCUAUUCCAAAGGACACACUUGAAUCAUCUUCUAUAUGAUUUCAAGAAGUGAACCUUCUAAGAAGUUUUACUAUCCAUCUUCAUCCAUUCAUCCUCAUUAUGUCCUAAACCUUUUCACACUUUACUUUCAAACCUGACAUAGAUAUUGUGCAAACUUCUUCAUGUUUUCUAACUAAAAACCUGGACCCCAAGUCCUUGACUUUUUUUCAAACUCCAUUU